CCCACCACUGUGAAUAGGCGUAUAUUUAAUAUACAUACACAAUUCUGGCACCUAAAGUCUAGGUAAAACGUGUGAAAGGUAGUAAAAUGUAUCAUUAUUAUAUUACUGCAUAAGAAUAGUGGCAGGAUUUGCAUUCCUUCACAUUCCAAUCAUCACUAGCCUUUGUUACUCUUCAAGAUUUGCUACAGCCAGGAUCUCACACUUUUCUAAUGUAGAACAUGAUAACUGUUAGAAGUUAGUGUAUCUUUUUUUAAAUCGUUUGCAGGGCACUGUAGGCUAAUUGCUGGCAAUGUACCUAAUUAUUAUUUAAUUAUAAAAUAUUUUAC